UUUCAGAUGCAAAUGCUCUAGUUCUCUAGACUAAUUGAUUUUUUUUUAUAUAUAUUUGUUUUUCCACCAACAUCAGUAACGUGUUUAUAAUUUCAUGCCCACAUCAAUUUGAGGUAACUGGCGAGUAGUAAAUCAUAGGAAGUAAGCACUUUUCUUUUCUAUCUAGUGUGUGUAGAUGAUCAUAUACAUGAUUUACAACAAAAGAAACCAAUUAAGAAAACGGGAGUUUAACGAUCCGACAUCUUGAAUAGUAUAUUAAUACAAUAACGACAGUUCCGAUCGCCGGCAAUCGAAUGGAGAAUAGGAUAAUAUAUUAUUGGGGUAACAGAGAUUCGAUUUACCUUAAUCAUCAAACUCGAACUAAACCAGCGCGUGAGCCGUGAGCGGUGACGAUGGCUGCUAUAGAUCACCGGAACUGGUUAACAAGGUAUAAAGCAUAUUUUGAAAGAGGGAAGUAAUGGUGGUCAUGGUACCUGUUCCUCACAGAGAGUUACCAAACUGAUGCCGGUGAAGGGCUGACCCGAACGGAGUAGUUAACAGAAUGUGAGUGGUGAUCGGCUAGAAUAACCGAUCGACAGUGGCUGCCACAGUUUCUGUAACCGGUUAACGAGAUACAAAACAAAGUUCGUAGGAGAAAAGAAAGGAGCGAUCUUGGUACCUGUUCGCAAAUCACAGAACACGAGUGACAGAACUGCUCGCGGCGGCAACUAGUUCUGUCCUGGAGGUGCUGCGAUGAGUGGUGGUUCGUGGCGAGAUGGUAUGCGCUCCGCCAAAAGGGAACAAGGUCGGAACGGUGGCGGCGAUAUCAUCGUUGGUGGUCCAGAAGAUGAAUAGAGGGGUUUAACAAGGGAACAAGCCAGCCUUUGAAAGGGUUUGUAUGGAGCAAAUCGCUGGAAUGAUAUCAAUUAUAUAUAUCUAUGGAACCCAUUAAGUCUAACCACCAUCCAAGUCAAUAUCCACCGUUGGAUCAUGCUGAGAUUAAAUCUUAGCCGUUUAAACUAGCAAAAAUAACCGCACUUGUGGCGGUUCCUGUUAUGGUCGGUUUUUUACAGUCGGUAGUUACCUCCACUUUUUGUUGCCCAUGAUCUCCUACAAACCUGGGUAGUGGUGUUAAUCGGUUGAGGAUUCUUUCUACAAGCAGCGGUUGUGAGAGAGGUUUGCAGCCAGUUAUUUACUUUUAACACUCUCUCUCGUACGCUCUAGCACUUUGGGGUGGUUAUAUUUGCGUUGUUCUAUCUCCUGUAUAUAAUCAAGAUCCCACCUCUCGCUGCCACAAAUCUAAAUCGCAACCCCUACAUACAACUAUAUCUCUGAAAAGUUGAAUUGCUGCUGGCGGAAUUUGAGUUUGGUCAUCAUUGUUAGCCAGAGCUUGAAGAUUCGGUCCUAUCGUAUCCCAUUUUUGCUAAUAGUGUAUACAUAUAUGAUCAUGAUCACCUCAAUUUCGUGAAUAGUUGAAGAAAACGAUUUGCUAUGUAAGAAGAAUCAACAAGCAACUCCACGACAUCAAAUCACAAUGGCUUAAUUUCUGAAAUUCUAUGUUCGCUAAUGGAGAUCAUUCAUUGUGACAAUUUGUGCAUAUGUAGAAUGCAUCAGCAACAGAGUAUGUCUUUCUAAUGCUGUCUCGCCUGGCUAUUAAGAGAAUUAUGAAAGCGGCUAAUGGGUUUGCAGCAAUGGAAGCUUUGUAGAAGACAGAUAAAAGUGAAAGACAAAUUGAUGGAGAAAAGCUGGGAAAACAGAAAUAUCUUUGCAGGAUAUUAGAAAAACGUUCAUAUUAAUCCUGUUGGUAGAAUUACAAGUAAAACCUUGUACUCUUCUUUGAAUUUUAAAUAUUUAGUUCUUUUUCUUU
rnacentral:lncRNA from 1 species